UACGUAGGGCGCAAGCGUUGUCCGGAAUUAUUGGGCGUAAAGAGCUCGUAGGCGGCUUGUCACGUCGGGUGUGAAAGCUCGGGGCUUAACCCCGGGUCUGCAUUCGAUACGGGCUGGCUGGAGUGUGGUAGGGGAGAUCGGAAUUCCUGGUGUAGCGGUGAAAUGCGCAGAUAUCAGGAGGAACACCGGUGGCGAAGGCGGAUCUCUGGGCCAUUGCUGACGCUGAGGAGCGAAAGCGUGGGGAGCGAACAGG
rnacentral:rRNA from 1 species